UGAUCUCACAGUGACAGUCUGGCUGUGAUGGCAAGAAUUUGCCUCUGGCCAACCAAUAUAAACUUGUUUUACCAAAUACUGUGCUACUAAACUGAUCCAUGCAGUGCUGGUGAGAUCAGUGUAUGUUACAGAAGACAAUCUCUGGAUGUGGUAAUGAUGAUCUUUCUACUGUUUAGAUGUAUCCAACGAGCAUCUGCAGAGGAGUCUCCUUUUUGCCCCUCCCUUACCCAUGCCCUCUGGAGUGUAUGAGGAGGACCUUUAUGACCCAGAAGAGAUGGAGCAACAGAUUUAGCUGUCAGUUUCUACAUAUAUUAGUAUGAUGGAGCUCAGAAUAAUCCAUGAGAUGAUGUCCUGUAUAUUAUAUGGCAAAUGGCUUACCAUUUUGAACAAAAGACUAUUUUAUGUUGCUUCUGGAUGCUAGCCAAUCAAGCAGUGUCACCAAAGCUAGGUGUUUGCUGAGAUUGGAAGUUUUCAAGACCCAACUGGACAAAGACCUAAGCAACCUAGUCUCAGCUCAGUGUUCACCCUGCUUUGAGCAGGAGGGUUGGACUGGAUGA
rnacentral:lncRNA from 1 species